rnacentral:lncRNA from 1 species
UUUGAAGAGUCGCAGAACCAGCAACAGAACCUGACAUUAAUCCUCAGCUCACACAAGGAGAACACACUUAAUGGACCUUUGCAUGAACAAACCACUGUCCUAGGCUUUGGGGAGCUACUGAGGUGAGCAGGAUAGUCACCUGCCCUCAAGAAGUUUGCAACCCGCCUGGAGUGACUCGGGUCUGUGGCUGAAGAUAAUAAAAUUGCGUAAUGCAAGGUGGGGGGAAAUGACCUACAGUGAAAGAACAGAGCCUCACUAAAAAAAGACUAGAAAGAAGACGAUGGAUCUCACAACUGAAGGAUUUUCAGCAAGGAAAAGGGAUCAUAUGAUCAGCAAAUCGUAUACCAUGAGCCCAAUGCCAGUUUGCUAAUCUAUCAGCCUGCGUGUCCCAAUUAUAAAGAGGAAACCAAAGUCUGGUCAUCCGCAGCUCCAGGCUGAGGUUCUGAACGCGGUUCUCUGGCACAAGAGGUUACCACAACUCCUCGACAAAAUAAACCCCGCGGCUGAUGGCAGGGAAGUCAGACGAGCAGCCUUCAGAUGUCCCGGAUUCUUGAAUUUUCCGCUGCUGAUUAAAAUUCUGUCUCACCCGUAGCCUGAUCCCACAGGCCCCGGACUGCAAAGCCCGCAGAGCAGAGCCUGCCUUCGUUUGAUUCAUUUAUUCAUCAAACAUUUACUGAGCAUCUUCUAUGUGUCGGGCGCCAUGCGAGGCUCUGAACCAGCUUGGUGGAUAAGACACUUCUAUUCUCAGGGAGCUCAGAAUCAAGAGAGGAGUCAGACGUGUAU